AGCAUCCCUGACCCUCUUGGUGCUCCGAGCACUCGGGACCAUCGGGGCAGUGGGCGGAGCACUCGAAGAUGCUGGAGGGGCCGAGGGAACGGCAGGCUCGUGUCGGCGCUUGGUCCGAUGCUCUAUUUGCGGAGGCGGCGAGUCCUGCUCUUCGUCUUCCUCCUCUUCCUCGCUAGUCUCUUCCUCCGACUCCCCGCUGUCGGAGACAUAUUCAGCGCUCUCCACGCUGCCUUCCUGGCUGCCUUCCUC
rnacentral:lncRNA from 1 species